UUCGGCAGCUAGCUCUUGCAACUCUCACAUGUUCGCCCACUGAAGCUAAGCAGGGCUGCGCCCGGUCAGUACCUGGAUGGGAGACCACAUGGGAAAGCUAGGUUGCUGCCGGAA
rnacentral:rRNA from 1 species